rnacentral:rRNA from 1 species
UUGGGCGUAAAGCGUCCGCAGGUGGCAGUGUAAGUCUGCUGUCAAAGGUCAGGGCUCAACCCUGAACAGGCAGUGGAAACUACACAGCUAGAGUGCGGUGGGGGCAGAGGGAAUUCCCAGUGUAGCGGUGAAAUGCGUAGAGAUUGGGAAGAACACCGGUGGCGAAACGCUCUGCUAGGCCGUAACUUACACUCAUGGACGAAAGCUAGGGGAGCGAAUGGGAUUAGAUACCCCAGUAGUCCUAGCCGUAAACGAUGUUCACUAGGUGUUGGGGGGUCUCCCUCGGUGCCGCAGCUAACGCAUUAAGUGAACCGCCUGGGGACUACGGCCGCAAGGUUGAAACUCAAAGGAAUUGGCGGGGGCCCGCACAAGCGGUGGAGCAUAUGGCUUAAUUCGAUGCAACGCGAAGAACCUUACCAGGGCUUGACAUGGAUCUGCAAGCCGCCGAAAAGCGGUCGCUUUCGAAGGUGAUUCACAGGUGGUGCAUGGCUGUCGUCAGCUCGUGUUGUGAAAUGUUGGGUUAAGUCCCGCAACGAGCGCAACCCUCAUGUUUUGUUACCAGCGGGUCAUGCCGGGAACUCGAAACAAACUGCCUCUGUAAAGAGGAGGAAGGUGGGGAUGACGUCAAGUCAUCAUGCCCCUUACGCCCUGGGCUGCACAUAUGCUACAAUGGCCGGUACAAAGAGGUGCAAAGCUGCGAAGCCAAGCAAAUCUCAAAAAGCCGGUCUCAGUUCGGAUUGGAGUCUGCAACUCGACUCCAUGAAGCUGGAAUCGCUAG